GAGAUACUAGCUCAGUUGGUAGAGCACCUGACUUUUAAUCAGGUUGUCGCGGGUUCGACUCCCGCGUGUCUCA
rnacentral:tRNA from 1 species